rnacentral:lncRNA from 1 species
GGAAGCCAGAGCUGGCCCAUCCCUUAUGCAUGAUCCAGGAAGAAUCCUGGAGACUUUGGCAGGUGUGGCCAAGGCUGGGCCCCUGGCUUCCUCCUGUGGAGUGUUGGGGACCUGUGAUCUUGCAGGGACAGUUUGGCCAGAGAAGGACAGGGCCGGGGCAGUCUUUUGAGAGGCUGAGGAGGGGACUCCCCACCUUGACUGCAGGAGACCUCCCAGAGAAUGUGGCAGCCGUCCUGUCCACACUGGGCCCCAGGGCUGGGCUGGCAGUCUGCACCCUGAGGACCCUCCUCCUUCCCUCCUGCAGGGACUUCAAGAACUGGCAGCAGAGGCCUUGGUCUGAGGCGGGGGUCCCUCAGGACACAGAGGUGAGGAGGCGCGAGCCAGAGCCACUUGGCCAGGUUCAGCCCGAAUCUGACACCAUGCCCCUGAGGAAUAGCAGCGAGCUUUGGAAGCAGGGAGAAGACCUAGAGGAGGCCGAGGGCCUGGGGAUGCCCAGCUGUCUGGGGCUGAGGAGGAGGAGGAAGGGGAGGAGGAGCUCCACCUUCCCCCUCUACCCCAUCUCCCCCAUACCACCUAUCUCAUCUCUCUCUAUCCUCCUCCUCCUCCCCCUCCUCCUUCCCCUCCUCCUCCCCCUCCUCCUUGUCGUCUUGCCCUUCAUUGUCCUUCUCUGGCAUGGUCUUUGGCCCCCCAGAGGAGGGGUCUGCUACUCCCGCGGCCCUGAGUGCUCCCCAGAGCUCUCAGAGUGCCGACCGCUCCCCCAAUGGUGGGGCAGCUGGUGGCCUUGGCCAGCCCGAGCCUCCUGGCCCCAGCGGCCCAGGGGAGGCGGGAGAUGAGGAGCCCUUGGUGGAGGGCAGUUUCCGCAUGAAGACGGCUGCCCUGGUGGUAUUCCUGCUCCUCAAGUAUCGCAACAAGCAGCCCACCAGCAAGGCAGAGAUGCUGGAGGUCUUCACCCCAGAAUACCAGGACGACUUCCCCGCCAUCUUGAGCCAAGCGUCCAUCUGCUUGCGGCUGGUCUUUGGCCUAGACGUGAUUGAAGUGGAUCCCAGGGAGCACUCCUACGUCCUCAACCCCAUCCUGGGCCUCACCUGGGAUGGGAUGCUGAGCGAUCAGUGGGGUAUCCCCAAGACCAGCCUCCUGGGGCUGGUCCUGGGGUUGAUCCUCCUGCAGGACGGAUGUGUCUCCGAGGAGGUGUGGGAGGCUCUGGGGUUCACGGGGAUGAAAGAUGGCCAAGAGCAAAUCGUCUGUGGGGAGCCUGGGGACCACCUCACCGUCUGUGUGCAGGAAGGCUACCUGGGGCGCCGGCAGGUGGCAGGCAGCGACCCUGCCCGCUUUGAGUUCCUGUGGGGGCCCAGGUCCUCCGAGGAAACCAACAACCUUCAGGUCAUGGACUUUAUGCUCCAGGUCGGUAGCAAAAACCUGGGGUCCUCCCUGGUCCUGUGAGAACAGAUUCUGAGAUAAGGAAGAGGGAGCUGCAGCUCCAAGGGCAGCCAGGCCCUUUCCAAUCUUUUGUGGGGCCGGUAUGAAGGGAGGCCUUAGGGUGCUUCCUCCCGGUGUUGUCCUGUUGGGUGUGUAAAGAGAAAAGCCUGGGCAUUCUCAGGGGUUAAGGGCCAGGGCAAGUAGGGGGAAAGCAGGGCCAAGAGCCUCCCUGGGGGCCUGGGCUCUGCAAUGACCCUGGCAUCCAGAGCUUGGUUUCUUUGAGGAAGCUCCCCAUGUUUGUUCCUUGGGACAGAAGGGUUCCCCAGCCCCGUGUGUGAGUGACACGCACCCCUUUGAGAUCAUACUUGCCAAGCUCAAGUGUUAGAGUUUUGUCAUGUCCUGCAUACAAUUUGGGAGACCUUCCCUCCUUGUUUGGGUUCUGGAUGAAAUCACAGGGCAAUGGCGUUGGAAUCUGUUGGAAAGGCCAAGAGUGCAGCAGGCAAGUGCUGGAGUAUGGAAAUAGGAAAAUAAACCUUGUUCACUUCUCAUUUCUACCCCUGCCGUGUGCCAUUUUUCCAAAGCAACGUCGAUGUGCGCUGCUGCAUUCACUUGGUUUUUCAGGAACGGGAGAGAAGGGUCCUAACGCCAGGGGAGCCCUGCUGGCAGCUCCCUCAUGGCCACACAUCGGCUGAGCUCUGCUCCCUGCAAGGCUCUGCGUGUGAGCAGUGAGGACAAGAGGGGACCAGGGUCACGCCACCUUCAGGGACUGUGUCUAGCGGCGGGAAUCCCCACGGGAAUGCGGGGAGGGUGCCCUGAGACCUGCGCCAGCUUGCCAGCCCCGAGCUUUUCCUGGAAUUGUGGGAGCUCUGUGUUGCCCCCAGAGGGGCAAGAAGCCUACCCCGGCGUCACGGCCAUUGAAUCCUAUGUGGUCUUGGAGGGUCGUGUGCAGACAGCUCAUUCUGCUCAGUUUCUCUUCGGUUCCCCUUGCUCUCCCAUCCUGGGAUAUGUCACAGGAACAGCAAAUUCUUAAGACAGGGGGUGUGGUGGUGGACGUUACAAUAAGGCUGGACCUUCUCCCAACCACUAACGGUCCUCAUUUGUCAGUGGUCCCGUGUGCCGGUCUCUCCUGAAAUGGGACAGUAGCAGAGAAUGGCAAGUGGCAGUGCAUCAGGGGAAAGAGCACAUUGCCAGCCCAUGGAGAUUUCUGAGGUUCCUGCCACAGUAAUUGCAGCAAGGUGCUAGGAUUGAGGAGGGAUUGCUGCCCCUGAACCACCACAGCCAGGUGAGUGUGCAAAGUAGUGACCAUCAGAUGUGAUCCUGCCUUGGAAGCACCCGCCCCACAGCCGGUGGAUGCGUAGGGACAUUCUGUAGACGAGCCUCUGUGCCCCACAGAGAGGCCCUGGUGGGCAGUCCUUCCUGCCACCUGACCCUUGGAUCCCCGAGUCACGGCCAUCAAACCCCUCAUGCCCCGCACCAGGUUCCUUCGGGAGUCCGGCAGCCCGCUGCCCAGUGGCCGGGGCAGGAU